rnacentral:lncRNA from 1 species
AUGAAGACAUGCAGCCAGUGGCAGAGCUUGGUCACUUGGCUGAGUGACCAGGCCUGGAGCAGGUCAGGGAGAUGUGACUUCACAGGACUCUCUUGUUUCCAUUGCCUGGAAGCAUUUCUCAGCACAGCUGCUUGGGUAACCAUCCUAGGGGUUGAGAAGGAUCUUGGAACUACUGGUUGCCAUACUUGGAGGAAAAGAAGGUCUCAUCUGAAGUCUUGCAAGAAAGGAAUCUAUGCCCUGGACCACUUGGUCUCUCUAGCAAGUGUUUGUUACGGGAUAUCUAGACUCAGCCAUUCGGACACACCAUCACCAUUUUCUGUCCUGUGUGCUCUUUGCUCAGUUAACCGGGGUUGCAGUCUAUGCCUGUCCCUGAAAUCCACGGUGAGGCCCUGCUUUUAUGAGCUGACUUUCCAAUCAGAGCUGCACUUACGCUUUCACUCGGAGUCUCUGUGAUGGGUGUAUUAGGACAAGCCUGAGGAUUGAACGUUGAGAUCAAAAUAUGAUCUUCCUCAGCUGAUAUAACUUCUAAAAUAAAUCAUUCAUACAGCCGGUGACUCAUACCAUCCAUUCCAGCAUGCUCUGCUGUUUGUCAGGAGGUUUUUAUUUAAUUUAAGCAUUUUCAUUAUGGCGGAUUUUUAUUAUGUCCUGUUCAGUUCUGAGUCUUGGGCAGUUGUUAUAAUAAGGUUGCUAGUCAGGGGCUGAAGAUAAAGAACAGGAAGCCAAUAAUUAAAAGGCAACCAAGAGUGCACUCUGCCAAGUGUAAAAGAUCAGAUCUAAAAUGGCAUGAAGAUGGGCUAAAAGCCAAAACUAUUAAUGCAAAAUAUGAUUGUUUCCAGUAAUGAGCUGAUGCAUGUUGGGGCUUCUGGGUUACAAGGGGGAUUUUGUGAGAUAAUCAGACCAACAGUAUUAGGCGGGACAAUCUUGAUUUUCCCCUUCCUACAAUAUCUCCUCCUGGGACUCCA